ensembl:lncRNA
AAUACGCGAAUGUUUUCAUAACAACGUCGCCGCUAGUUCUUUGAAGUCGGCUUGGUGUGUCCCGAUCUAUAGAGAUACUUUGAGCCCAUUUUUUCUGUGAUAGAUAAAUUAUUGGAGAAUAUUAUCUGAAUAUGAAUGCAAUAAUGUUGGGGACAUCAGGACAUCUAAGAUGUAGAUGUUUUUUUUCUUCAUCAGAACAGAUGAAGAGAAAUGACAAAACACACUCAUGAAUCCUCUGCAGUGAAUGGGUGCCGUCAGAAUCACAACAACCCACAAGUAAUCCACACAAAUCUAGUCCAUCAAUUAACAGUUUGUGAAGUAACAAGCUCAUCUACAUCUUGGAUUGACUUAGGGUUGUUCAACAUGAGGUGUUCUUUCCAUGAUCCUUUCCUGGGAAAAUAAGUUUUCAAAGAUUGCAACGCAUAUGCUAAGAAAGAACAUUGUUCUGUUAUGAAGAAACAAUACUGCUAUCAUCCAUCAAUUUUUCCAUUACAUUUUUCUUCAACUUUAAGGAAAAUCUAUAUUUUUUUUAUCUGUGCAUUUCUUUUAUUUCUUAGCAUUUUAAACACCUUGUUGCCUUAAAUUUAUUUUAAAUGCUCCUGCAGUGUGACAAAUGUCUGUUUAAAAUGCAAUUGUUGUGUGUAGUCUCAGUUCAUUUGAGAUUAUAAAGUGCAACCAACCAGCAGUAGUGGUUAAUUACUGUAAUUUAAUUAUUGUUCCCUUGAAAAAGUAAAGUAAGGGAUUUCUCUUAUUUAUUCUGUAAUUUAACUACAGUUACUUGUGAUGAACAUGAAAAUGUAACAUCUAAUGUUAAAAUUUAUGUUUUUAUGUAUGUAACCUUCUCCCUUUAAAUACUUUGGCCAGUUCAAGAAUAAUUUAUGCAAUUUUAUAUUAUUGAUUUGAAAGAAUUAAAAGAGCAGUUUCAUGUCUAUCCUUGUUUGGUUGAUAUGGGAUUUAGAAAGUAAUCGAGUAAUUCAAUACUUUGAGAAAGUAAUUAGUUCAGUAAUCUAAUUACACUGUUGAAGAUGUAAUAAGCUGCACUGUAACUUACCCAGCACUGCCAAACAGUAGGUAGCUGAAGACCAUCAUACUAAUUUUAAUGUAAAAAGUAUUUUUUUCAGCAGAGGUAAACAAUAUAUAAUAUACUCGAUACUAUAUAUUCGAUACAUAAACAGUCAUGUUUUGCAUUUAUAAAAAAGAAGAAAAAAAGAUAGUACCUUUUAAAAUAACGUAAUAAUUAGCAAUUGGCUUAUUCAUUCAUUGAUUUGUCAGAUAAUUGUGUGUGUUUGUGUGGAGAGAGAAAGAGAGAUACAAGCGCAUGCGCGCUACAUACAUUUACACUUCCGGGUUUUUUGAAAUGUAACAUUUCGCUUGUGAUGUAUCGAUGAAACUUGUUGCCCGGGCAGAGAAUAAAAAGGUGCUUGGCUGUAAUUAAAGCGACA